GAUGAACGCUAGCGGCAGGCCUAACACAUGCAAGUCGAGGGAGGAGCCUUCGGGCUUCGACCGGCGUACGGGUGCGUAACGCGUAUACAAUCUGCCUUUCACAUAGGGAUAGCCCGAAGAAAUUUGGAUUAAUACCUAAUGGUAUAUAGGAGUGGCAUCACAUUUAUAUUAAAGCUGAGGCGGUGAAAGAUGAGUAUGCGUUCUAUUAGCUAGUUGGAGAGGUAACGGCUCCCCAAGGCGACGAUAGAUAGGGGUUCUGAGAGGGAUAUCCCCCACACUGGUACUGAGAUACGGACCAGACUCCUACGGGAGGCAGCAGUGAGGAAUAUUGGACAAUGGUCGGAAGACUGAUCCAGCCAUGCCGCGUGCAGGAAGACGGCCUUAUGGGUUGUAAACUGCUUUUGCAGGGGAAGAAUAAGGAGUACGUGUACUUUGAUGACGGUACUCUGCGAAUAAGCAUCGGCUAACUCCGUGCCAGCAGCCGCGGUAAUACGGAGGAUGCGAGCGUUAUCCGGAAUCAUUGGGUUUAAAGGGUCCGUAGGCGGGCUAAUAAGUCAGAGGUGAAAGCGCUCAGCUCAACUGAGCAACUGCCUUUGAAACUGUUAGUCUUGAAUGGUUGUGAAGUAGUUGGAAUGUGUAGUGUAGCGGUGAAAUGCUUAGAUAUUACACAGAACACCGAUAGCGAAGGCAUAUUACUAACAAUUAAUUGACGCUGAUGGACGAAAGCGUGGGGAGCGAACAGG
rnacentral:rRNA from 1 species